AGAGACUGGACUGCGCCUGCGGCAAGGAAGGACGGAGCAGAGCCACCUGAGGCCGAGCGGGAGCCAGACCCAGGGAUGACCGUCCUGGGGAGCCCCUCUGCACCCCGGAGGGGACGCAGGACGCCCGGAGCAGUCCCAGGCCCUGCCCCUCGCUUCACCCACGGAGCUCCUAGGUCUCUAUCGUGCCCAUCGUACCCGCUGCCCUGCACUUCCGCCCCAAGCUGGUGGAGGAGGGAGGGUGUCGCAGACACGGGAGCGCCGCGGACCUCCUACAGUCACCGUCCUGCGGCGCAUCGCGGGUGACCCAACAGCCUCCCGCUGCUCCCGAAAGUGGGACGGGGCCGGCGGAUCAUCCUCCAAGCCGGGGGCGGCCACAGGCCCGAUCAAUGCCAGGAUUCCUCCGACUCCAAGAAAGGCGACGGGGAGAAGCAGGAGGACUCGGAUGACUCCGGCACCAGGGAGGAGGGCGCCCGGGCCUCGCCGUCGCCAGGGCGGUCGGGACGGGGGGUGGCGGGCGGCGCGGGGCAGGGCCCGGUGCCCGGGAGGCCGCGGGAAGCGGGGGGCGUCGAGCCGUCGGGGGCCGAGCUCAGCAGCUCUUGCAGAAGCGGGUCUGAGACUGCUUAUUGGAUUAGCAGCAGCAGCCAUCAGCCAAUGAGGGAAGCCAACUCUUUAUGGAAAGGAAUGCCUCUUUGAUAACAAGGUAGGUGUUGCUGGUCCAUUCAAAGCCCUCUGCCUGGCAGAGACAGUCAUCAAAGCCUUCCCUGCCCCAGUCCCUGUGGUCUGGGAUACACCCUCUCACCCCACCCUGGGUUUCUCCAUGGCACCUAAUGGAGCUGUCUAUUCUUUCACCUGUAUGCCCUGAGCCUAGCCCAGCCCCUGUUGAGUAUUAGAUGCUCCACAAAUACAUGUGGAAUAACAGAGAGAGGAUUAGGCAGAAAGCUGGGUUUGUCAGGGUGGGACUGAUUACACGUAGCCUUUCAUAGGCUUUAGGAAGUUGUUAUUUCAGAAAUAAUUGGUGUGUGUUGAGUUUAGGUGCCACCAAGCUUCAUUGCAUGUGGUUAUCAGAUCCAAGUUAGGUGCCAUUUUGUCUAGGAAGCCUCUCUGAUCGCACUCCCCCCUCUUGUGUGUGUCUACAGUGUUCCAUAAGUGCCAUCUUAGCACUUAUCACACUACUCUAUUAUUUUUUCCCUCUUCAUAAAAGAUGAUCAGGACUUAGCGAGUGAGUGAGUGAUGGGCAGCAUGACACCUUGGCCACUGGGCACGGCCUCUCCAAGAGACAGAAAGGAGCUAGCUCUCUCCCUGACAGGAGGAGGUGGUGGCAAACUCAGAUUCCCGAGAAUGUCUCCUUCUGCACCCUCUCACCUCUGUCCUUUUUGCAGGCCCUGAGUCUGUUUCCAGCUAGCUUUGUCCUCCACACUAAAUGAGGACCAAGAAAAAUCAACAAUGAUUCUAAGCGUCAUGGAGACUUAGGUAUGCUCUCAAAAGUGAAACCAGGCCGGGCAUGGUGGCUCACGCCUGUAGUCCCAGCACUUUGGGAGGCUGAGGUGGGCAGAUCACUUGAGGACAGGAGUUCGAGACCAGCCUGGCCAACAUGAUGAAACCCUGUCUCUACUAAAAAUACAAAAACUAGCUGGGUGGAAUGGUGGGUGCCUGUAAUCCCAGCUAAUUGGGAGGCUGAGACAGAAGAAUCGCCUGAACCUGGGAGGUGGAGGGUGCAGUGAACCAAGAUCAUGCCACUGCAUUCCAGCCUGGAUGACAGAGCAAGACUCCAUUAAAAAAAAAAGAGUGAAACCAAAUGUCUGAGAAUUCAGGACAAAUUCACAUAUCCCUCCCCUUCUCAGUGGCCUUCAAAGCCUCCCCGUUGCUUUCAAGAGAAGGUUCUAGAAAAUGUCUCCCAAACAGACCUUCAGAUCUCUCAGGUCAAUCUUCUCUGGAACUCUUUGCUUUCCGGAUCUCACACUUGGCUUGUGCUGGCUCCGGUCCUGGGGGCCCUCUCUACAUCUCUCUGCUUUACCCAGAGUCCUGCCAUCCUUGAUUCCAGCUCCUGCCCAUCCUGACUGCCUGAGCGCUCCGGCUUCCAACAUGGGUUGUGCAUUCUAAGAUGGCACAUUCUCUUUAAGGUUGUGCAUUCUAUGUCUUCAACCAGAAUGUAAGCAGUCGGAAGGCAGGGGCUAGGGCUUUUAUUUCUCAGGUAACACCUAUCAGUCCCUUGCUCAAAAUGAUUUUCUAGCGGUUCUCUUUUAUUGUACAAAUUUGGGAUCCAGACUACACUCUCCCAUAUGAUCCCUGUCUAUUCAUAUUUGACUUAAUUAUUUAAAUUUAAUUUGAUAGGGGUCAGAAGUUUAUGACAAUUUUAACAAGUACAACUUACUAUUUGUUCAUGUUGAUUUAAUAUUCAUAACUUAUUUAUUUUCCUCAUAUACUAUUUACCUUUUUUCAUACAACAAUUCAGAAAGGUGAUUCAAACAAGAAACUUCACAGCAGGACUAUGUAUUUCUUAAGCCAAUUCUGUCUUUACUGUUAGAAAAGAACUGAUAAGCCAGGCGAGGUGGCUCAUGCCUGUAAUCCCGGCACUUUGUGAGGCCAAGGAGGGAGGAUCACUUGAGCCCAGGAGUUUGAGACCAGCCUGAGCAACAUGGCAAAACCCUGUCUCUACAAAAAAUUAAAAAAAUUAGCAGGGUUUGGUGGCAUGUGCCUGUGGUCUCAGCUACUCAGGGGGAGGCUGAGUAGGGGAGGAUGGCUUAAGCCCAGGAGGCAGAUGUUGCAGUGAGCUGAGGCUGCACCACUGCACUCCAGCCUGGGCAACAGAGCAAGACCCUGUCUCAAGAAAAAAAAAAAAAAAGAGAACUCAUAACCUAUCUGCAAGAUACCAUAGGGGGGUACACAGCUGCAAGGGAAUUGUGUUCUGCAUCUAUCACUGAAUACCAGAAGCUGAGGAACACAGUGUAGCAUAUGACCAUUAAGCGGCGUGAUUUUCAUUCAGUAAAUAUGUACAGAGGGUCCUGGAUAUCCUGGGACUGCUCUAGGUACUAGGAUAGAACAGCAAACAAACAUUGUAGUGAAAUAAUAAUAAUAAUGAUAAUCAUAGCUACACUUAUUAUUCAUGAUGUGCAAGACCUCAUGCUAAGAGCCUGAUGUGAAUCAUCUCAUUUAAUUUUCACGCCAUCCUUGAGAGGUAGGUGCUAAUAUUGUCUGGUUUUACGGGUGAGAAACUUGAGGCACAUGAAGGGUAAGUCACUUUUUAAAGGCCCACUGUUAGGAAUUCAUGAACUAAUAAAGGUUAAUCCACCACCUCAGUUUCCCACCUCUUCCCUCAGUAUUUCUACUAGUGGCUUCUCAUCUGAUCAAAGGAACAGAGAGGUUUACACUGACCUAACAAAAGGAUCUUAGUAAAUUAUUCCUGCUGGAGAGGAAUUACAAUUAUAAUGAUAAUUCCUGGAGGGGAUGUCCCGCUGAAGAUUCCAAUUAUAAUGCUGUUAUUUAGCUUCUGCUAAGAGAAGAACUAAAGGUCACCCCGGUCAUCUUUUGGGAGGGUAGCACCCCCUUGAAGAUGUGUUUGGAGGGUGGCCCAUGGAGUUCUGCUGCUGGGAAGAUACAGACUGGAGUAUCAUCAGACUGAGUCAAGCAGCAGGAGCCCCCUUGCCUGAGCUUAGAAAACCUGAGCAAAGGCCCCAGGAGGAUCUAUCAGUAGCAGGGAACCUACUCAUCGGCUAAGUUCAUGGGACUGGGCAGAACCAGCUAUCAAUAGCGCCACGGUGUGGUGGUGAGACGCAGUGGCGGCAACAGAUUGAUGAAAUUCGCAUCCCGACCCCACGGGUGUCGAAGUCAUCACUUCCUGUGACAGCUCCCUUUGGGGACUGUGGGUCCCUAGGUCUCCUGGAAAAUUCAGGGUAAGAGAAGACCCCUUAGGAAAAGCUACUGAGUUUUCUGUCAACAUCUACUAAUUUUCUCCCUGUGUUUGUGAAGCAAUUCGUAUCACUUAAACUUUCACUAUGUACACAUACAUAAAAUAUGUAUUAAUACAAUUAGAUGUAUUUUGUUGUUUUGAAUUAAAAAUAGCAGUUGCAUCAGCAUUAGGCAACUUACUAGAUAAAAAUGUGACUCUGAAACAGUGGAAGAGCUUUUCCUCUACUCUUAGCCCCCAUGGUGACUGCUGAAAGAGCUAGUUGAGUGAACCCAUUGAUUGCAUUGAGUAGGCACAGACUAUUAGUUGCAGGCAAUGCUGUCCACCUUUUUAAGGGGCCCUGGUUCCUCUCUGGGACCAGAGCCACUCCUUGCCCUCAGCAACCCCAUUCAUUACCAGCUGUACUCUAGUUUACUUUGCCCUGGGAAGCAGCCGAGCAGAUGUGCUUGGCAGGAAGUAACUGCUGUUCCUCCCCAGAGCUUUCUUCGUGGUGCAAGCUACACUGAGCUGUUAGGCCUGCAGUCUACGCUCAGUUGUACCAUGUACAGUUAGUUUGUUUAGGGCCAGCUAUCAUCAAUUAUUGUGCAAAGAACUUUCUAAUCCUCAAAUCUGACUUGCACCAGAGAGGGCGUAUUGUCAGCGGGGGUCUCCUGGGCCUCCUUUGCAAUACCUUGCCAAUUCUAAUUGUGUAGCACUAGUGUUUGCCCCACCAAUAUUAGCCCCUUGUUGUCCCUAUUGCCAGAGGAUCUCACUGUCCACACCCCUGGGGAUGGCACAUUAUCAUAACUUGCUGUUAAUGGUUUCAUACUCAUCCCCUGCCCAUCUCUCCCAGGCCUCUCCCUGGUGCUCAAUGUUCACCAGGGCCCUGUCUCCCCACCCUCCUCAGCCUUAUACUCUGCAUGGGCAACAGGCAACCUGAGGGCCCUCUCCCCAGGGCUCUUCCUGUCACUGCCCCCAACCCAGGCUGUAAACUGUGAGCCCAAGAACUCUGGUCUUAUCCUUCUUUGAGACACACAGUACACGCUCAGUUAAGUGUUUGUUGAUUGACACUGGUGGGAAGCCCUGGGGAGGCAAAGGCAGAUGUGAACUUUGAAGAAGCAGACAACAUAAUUCUACCUUUCAGGCUUUCCUCAUUGUCUUUAGCAGGACUGGAACCAGAGUUGGGGGUCUGAGGUCAGGAAUUGGCUGAACAUGUCUCUUUCAACAGGGAACCCAUGGCUCUGAAGGAAGUAUUGGGGAAAGUGAUUCCAUAGUCUUCUUCUUCUCCUACCACUCUGAGAGAUUUCUGAGAGUUGACCAGUCCAUAAUGCUGCUUUUGGGCAGCAACAGGGAGACUGCUUCCAUAGCCUCCCCUCUACCCACUGCCGCCAAAAACUGGGAACAUUUGUAAGGAAGCCCCAAGGACUCAGAAUGACAGAACUCAUUAGCUUUGUGGAAUCCUCACUCAUUCCCCUGCCUCCAGGCAAGGUGGUUGCUAAAACCUUUCCCCUAAGGGCUGCAUAAUUUGAGAAAUGCAGCUCCCCGCAUUUCCCUCCUUGGAUACCCACAUUAGCGUUGGCCCUUGGAGGGCAUGUUAGCAUCAGAGGCCCUGGGAAGCCCUGCAGGUAAAGAAACCUGUUUGUAUUUAACCCCCAAAUUCCCAAUGGAACCACAGAACACUUAAAAAAUGGUCUUAAGCCCACUAACAUCAAAUAGAAUACACUUCAGGAAAUUCUGCCUUUAAAUCUUCAGGGUAAAUGUAUUUUUUUAAGAAACAAAUAGGGGCUGGUGUGUGGCUCACACCUGUAAUCCCAGCACUUUCGGAGGCCGAGGUGGGGGGAUCGCUUGAGCCCAGGAAUUUGUGACCAGCUUGGGAACCUUGUGCUUCUAGUCUUGUUUAAGUCUUACUCACCGCUACAUUUUCCUUUAGGAAUUCAGUUUUGUGUGUGGUUUCCAAUAGGGUUCUGUUUUAAUUUUGUAGACCAAUAAUUAGCAGUGUCGAUUUAUUUAGCAUUCAUUAAGCAGGCCAUCUUUUUAUCACUAACUUGAAAAAAAUCUCUCAUUAAAUAUUGUAUUCAUCUUUCAUUAGGUUCUGCAUACUUUAGUAGAGACCCUAUCUCUACUAAAAAUAAAAACGGUUAACUGGAUGUGGUGAUGCAUGCCUGUAGUCCCGGCUACUCAGGAGGCUGAGGUGGGAGGAUCAGUUGAGCUCAGGAGGUGGAGGCUGCAGUGAGCUGUGAUUGCAGCACUGCACCCAGCUGGGUGACAGACUCAGACCCUGUCUCAAAAAAAAAAACCCCAAA
rnacentral:lncRNA from 10 species